rnacentral:lncRNA from 1 species
CCAUUUUAUUCUACUUCAUUGAAUGUAUUAGAAGAAAAGCAAGUAGAGGAGUUCAAUCAGGAAAAACCCUCAGAACCUCUUGCAGAGCUUUUUCAUGAAUAUUCAUCUUUGGAAAACUUUUGGAAAAGAUACAAUAAAGUGCUACUUGACAAAAUAGCUUUAAGUAAUGAGAAAAAUGCACUAUGUCAAGAAAAUCAACAACUGAAAUCGCUAUUAAAACAAUAUUUAGAUGGAAUAUCUGUGAAUGACGAAAUUCUAACAAAAGCAAACCCCUUAUUUAUAAUAAACAACAAAACGAACGUGAGUUUGGCUGUACCCGUGACUGAUACAAGAGUUCAAUAUAAACGUCCGGUAACAGUUAUCGAGGCUUCUCAUAUUGUUAAAAAUAUUGUUUGAAACCAUUCAAAAAAAAAAAAAAAUUACAUUUCGGAAAACGUUUUUAGAAUAAAAAUGCUGCAAUUAUAAGUUUGGUUGUUUUUACUUCAGUUUAUUUUA